ACUACGGGCGGCAGCAGUGAGGAAUAUUGGUCAAUGGGCGCGAGCCUGAACCAGCCAAGUAGCGUGAAGGAUGACUGCCCUACGGGUUGUAAACUUCUUUUAUAAAGGAAUAAAGUGAGGCACGUGUGCCUUUUUGUAUGUACUUUAUGAAUAAGGAUCGGCUAACUCCGUGCCAGCAGCCGCGGUAAUACGGAGGAUCCGAGCGUUAUCCGGAUUUAUUGGGGUUAAAGGGGGGGUAGAUGGGUUGUUAAGUCAGUUGUGAAAGUUUUAGGAUCAAACGUAAAAUUGCAAUUGAUACUGGCAGUCUUGAGUACAGGUGAGGUAGGCGGAAUGCGUGGUGUAGCGGUGAAAUGCUUAGAUAUCACGAAGAACUCCGAUUGCGAAGGCAGCUUACUAAACUGCCACUGACAUUGAUGCUCGAAAGUGUGGGUAUCAAACAGGAUUAGAUACCCCAGUAGUC
rnacentral:rRNA from 1 species